UUGUCUUGUCCAUGCCGCAGGAACACUUUGAGGGCUCUGMGGACAUGGGGGAUCCAGCGAGUUCCCUUGACGCUAGACGGUGUGCAAAUAUCCACACUGAGCUCUUGCCCGAGAACAUAGAGCUCUCUCGUUUGGAUUUUCCGCUGAAGUGAUACAUCUUCCAUAUCAGAUUCAGAAGAUCGUACACGACAGACACAUUUGGCUCUUUCUUCUGAAUGGGCUCAGUUCCAAGCUGUGUGAGGAGAUCCGUGACACGUUUCGGUCACAUUUUGACUGUAUCAGUGGCGCCGCACCAAAGUGCAGAGAAUCCCGUUCAACACUACAGCACUCUGCUGAGUUUAGCCUCACUGCAAAGCAGCAGAAUCCCUCUCUGUGAUGAAUACACACAUCACCUCAUGCAUGGCUGGACUACUGCUGCCUGUCCACAGCCUCACCACAGUCAGUGAGAAGACUCGCUGGGAAUCCUUGGCCAGCUGCACCCUCCAGCCUGUUCCACAGCUUUCCCCCACAGGGAAAUCUUAUAGUAGCCUGGCAGUGUUGGCUGUGGCCAGAGGCAACAAGGAUGGCUUUUCCUCAUGUCCAAUGCACUUCAGAAGUUGGAAAAAAGGGCAGCGAUGUUUCUCUUGGAACCCAUUUCCCCUUGACCACUGGACUGACCCUUUGAUCAAGGUGGGAGACACCCCUUCCUCUCGCCUCCUCACUGUCUGCUCCAAUCACAGCAGUGUUUCCCUGCCUGCUCGGCCACGUUGUGCAGCGUGCUGGGGAGAUGCUUGCAAGCAAGGCCUGCCUGCACUGGUACCAGCACUAUGGUGUGGAGGAGCAGGACUUUCAGCAGGCUUUGGACGCAUGCUCAGCUGUCAUGCAGGAAUAUGACACUCAGUGGCAUCCUGRUAGGGCUGCUAAUAAAAAGUCUGAAAAAAUGAUGGCASUGUUGGAAUGGAAAACAGUCAUAAGGUCAACUUAACACUUGUGUGAAGUGGACAUGAUGAACCACUAUGGACUUCAAUUCAGAGCCAUAGAAGUAGGUUAUGGCUUUGCUUCAAUGGUCAUUGUACAGUCAAAUAUUCCCACUAGUUUUUUAUUUUAUUUUUAAUC